rnacentral:rRNA from 1 species
GAUGAACGCUGGCGGCGUGCCUAAUACAUGCAAGUCGAGCGAACAGACGAGGAGCUUGCUCCUCUGACGUUAGCGGCGGACGGGUGAGUAACACGUGGAUAACCUCCCUAUAAGACUGGGAUAACUUCGGGAAACCGGAGCUAAUACCGGAUAAUAUAUUGAACCGCAUGGUUCAAUAGUGAAAGACGGUUUUGCUGUCACUUAUAGAUGGAUCCGCGCCGCAUUAGCGAGUUGGUAAGGUAACGGCUUACCAAGGCAACGAUGCGUAGCCGACCUGAGAGGGUGAUCGGCCACACUGGAACUGAGACACGGUCCACACUCCUACGGGAGGCAGCAGUAGGGAACCUCGCGCAAUGGGCGAAAGCCUGUCGGAGCAACGCCGCGUGAAUGAUGAAGGUCUUCGGAUCUUAAAACUCUGUUAUUAGGGAAGAUCAAAUGUGUAAGUAACUAUGCACGCCUUGACGGUACCUAAGCAGAAAGCCACGGCUAACUACGUG